rnacentral:rRNA from 1 species
UACGUAGGGGCCUAGCGUUGUCCGGAUUUAUUGGGCGUAAAGAGCUCGUAGGCGGUUUGGUAAGUCGGGUGUGAAAUCUCCACGCUCAACGUGGAGGGGCCACCCGAUACUGCCAUGACUGGAGUCCGGUAGGGGAGUGUGGAAUUCCCGGUGUAGCGGUGAAAUGCGCAGAUAUCAGGAGGAACACCGAUGGCGAAGGCAGGUCUCUGGGCCAUUACUGACACUGAGAAGCGAAAGCAUGGGGAGCGAACAGG